UACGUAGGGUGCGAGCGUUGUCCGGAGUUAUUGGGCGUAAAGGGCUCGUAGGCGGUUUGUCGCGUCGGGAGUGAAAACCCAGGGCUUAACCCUGGGCUGGCUUCCGAUACGGGCAGACUAGAGGUAUGCAGGGGAGAACGGAAUUCCUGGUGUAGCGGUGAAAUGCGCAGAUAUCAGGAGGAACACCGGUGGCGAAGGCGGUUCUCUGGGCAUUACCUGACGCUGAGGAGCGAAAGUGUGGGGAGCGAACAGG
rnacentral:rRNA from 1 species